CCAUGGGACCCAUGAAGGUGGUAGCUUGUUGCUGGCCCAGAUCAAUGUCAAAGAUGACUUGGUCUGUUCCACUGAGCUCAUAAUCUGAAGUUCAAGAAAAAGUGUCAAUAGGAGGUAGACUCUUAUAAAGUUUAGCAAUCCUACUUCAUCUUGUUCAAGAUUUCCAUCCCUUCACAUCUUGGUGGAUUCUUUUGUGAGUUACUGACAUCAACCAGAUUUUUCACCGGGCAGCUACCAGAUGAUAAGUUUUUGUGAACUUUGUAAGGCAUACUCCUGGUCCAUUGCAGCACCUGUAUACAUAGGCAUACAGAGAGGAUGGGAGCAUGAGCUACAAGAUGGACAGGCACCUCGCUCUAUUAACAACUCAGUCUCCCACAUCAAAGAAAAAAACAUGAGGAACUGGAUGUGAUUGCUAAGCAGUCCCUAUUCUUUCACUGGAAGUGUCUGCCACGAAGGACUUCUCUCAAGCAACAAAGCCAGGAAUAACGAGAGUAUAAAGCUGGCGUUCAUGAAUAAUUCAAAGGGGCCGAGGACUUUAAAUGGAGCAGUUUUCCUCAUUGGAGACAUAUGAAAAGACCUCUCUGUUUGAUUUUAAGAUCAAAGUGAUUGUCAGCCAUAUAGGAAAGAAAGCAAGAAAAUUGGAUUGGGAGAGAAAAAAAAUCUACUAAUAACCUUCGUCUACUAGGCCCCUGAGAAGAUGAACUUUUACAAAUGCUACUUAGGUGAUGAAAACAGAUGUUUCUGACUGUAUUUAAACUGUCAGGCUUUAUCAAGUGCAAAUGGGAAAACAAUUUUUA